AACAGGGGUGCCUUAGGGCUGAGACGGUGCGCGGCAGCGAAAAGCUGGUCCGGCAGCCGAACCCUCGAACCUGAUAUGGAUUAUACCAGCGUAGGGAGUUUUU
rnacentral:ncRNA from 1 species